AUGGGCUCGAUAAAGGACAGAAAUGGUAUGGACCUAACAGAAGCAGAAAAUAUUAAGAAGAGGUGGCAAGAAUACACAGAAGAACUGUACAAAAAAGAUCUUCAUGACCAAGAAAAUCACGAUGGUGUGAUUACUCACCUAGAACCAGACAUCCUGGAAUGUGAAGUCAAGUGGGCCUUAGAAAGCAUCCCUAUGAACAAAGCUAGUGGAGGUGAUGGAAUUUCAGUGGAGCUAUUUCAAAUCCUGAAAGACGAUGCUGUGAAAGAGCUGCACUCAAUAUGCCAGCAAGUUUGGAAAACUCAGCAGUGGCCACAGGACUGGAAAAGGUCAGUUUUCAUUCCAAUCCCAAAGAAAGGCAAUGCCAAAGAAUGUUCAAACUAUGGCACAAUUGCACUUAUCUCACAUGCUAGUAAAGUGAUGCUUAAAAUUCUCCAAGCCAGGCUUCAGCAAUACAUGAACCAUGAACUUCCUGAUGUUCAAGCUGGUUUUAGAAAAGGCAGAGGAAGCAGAGAUCAAAUUGCCAACAUCCGCUGGAUCAUGGAAAAAGCAAGAGAAUUCCAGAAAAGCAUCUAUUUCUGCUUUAUUGACUAUGCCAAAGCCUUUGACUGUGUGGAUCACAAUAAAAUGUGGAAAAUUCUGAAAGAGAUGGGAAUACCAGACCACCUGACCUGCCUCUUGAGAAACCUAUAUUCAGUUCAGGAAGCAACAGUUAGAACUGGACAUGGAACAACAGACUGGUUUCAAAUAGGAAAAGGAGCACGUCAAGGCUGUAUAUUGUCACCCUGCUUAUUUAACUUCUAUGCAGAGUACAUCAUGAGAAACGCUGGACUGGAAGAAGCACAAGCUGGAAUCAAGAUUGCUGGGAGAAAUAUCAAUAACCUCAGAUAUGCAGAUGACACCACCCUUAUGGCAGAAAGUGAAGAGGAACUCAAAAGCCUCUUGAUGAAAGUGAAAGAGGAGAGUGAAAAUAUUGACUUAAAGCUCAACAUUCAGAAAACAAAGAUCAUGGCUUCUGGACCCAUCACUUCAUGGGAAAUAGAUGGGGAAACAGUAGAAACAGUGUCAGACUUUAUUUUGGGGGGCUCCAAAAUCACUGCAGAUGGUGACUGCAGCCAUGAAAUUAAAAGACACUUACUCCUUGGAAGAAAAGUUAUGACCAACCUAGAUAGCAUCUUGAAAAGCAGAAAAUUACCUUGCCAACUAAGGUCCGUCUAG
rnacentral:lncRNA from 1 species